GAAAUGACAACAGCUAGCGCAGAAACAAAAUAAAGAAAAAUGGCUCACCGGAGAACGGGAAGGGCUCGUCGGAAGAAACAACUUCGUGCGUGGCAGGGACCCCUCGACACAGCGACGAGUGCGGCGAGACCUCCAGCUAGGACAUCGGUCCUUUCUCCACGGUGACAAAUGAUGCGACGACGAGCUCUGCAUGGGACCUCUGCUCGACGGCGGGCGCGGCGCCGGGGCGACUGCGUGAUGCAAGGGGUGGUUGCUGCAAGGUUGAGGGACAGAGAGCAGGUGCCGACUGUUUGAAUGGGACUAUGGGAGCGGCUAUAACGGACCAUUGCUAAAUUCUUGCGUCGUGGCCAUAUAGUGCGGUAGAGGUUGUUCACACACGGAAGAGAUGGUGGUGGGCCUGCGGCGCAGCAGCCGAGUGCGGCGCUGGUGCUUCCCCCACGCGUGCUAGCAGGUAGAUAUGAAUAUACAUAUAUGUUUAUAUGAAUAUAUCUAUUUAUAUUAGAUCAUGUCCCGAUAAUUUAAUUUGAUAGUUUUUCCUUCUUUCGAGUGUGAACACCGCCAAGAUCAUUUUAGCAAACAGAAAGAAAAUGUACCUCGGCUUAAAAUAUAAUACACAUAUUUAUUUAAAAUAGCAUCUAUAAAUUCCAUGUUAACUCCCCAUUUAAUAACAAACAAAAGAGGAAAAGAAAGGAAAAGAAAAUGUAACACCUGAAUUUUGAGAGUAGAUAAAAGAAAAUUUUAUACCCUCAAAAUCAGGGUGUUACAAAUCUAACCCCCUUAACAGAAUCUCGCCCUCGAGAUUCAAGAAGAAGCUAGAAAGAAAAACAAGGUUGGUUCACUUCGAUUCAAUUUUAACACUACCAGCUUAACUUGCUGACAUGAUACUUUGACCUUCAGAUAUUCACGAUCAACUGAUGCAACUCUUGAGGAUCUCUUGGACCUAUGGGUUAGGACCCACACACGCUUUCGGUGCGCCACUUUAAUCGUGUUGGUUGAUGCUGUUCGCAUUGUCUUCAUUGGGGUUAGCGGCUAACCCCCUUAACAGGAGCGUUGAUAUGCACUUGGUGAAGAUGUUAUCGAUUUUGAUCUUGACCGAUUAAGAGAGGUUGGUUGGAGGUUGCCAACCGGACAGGUGCAAGAGGGAAGGGUAUAGAUAGGAAAGGUACACAUAGAUGAAUUAAAAAGAGAAAAGGGAGAGCACCCAGAUACCUAACUCUAUGGCACUCAGCUAGUAAACUGAUGUCAUUGCGGACCAAGGACCACAACACAUCAACACUCAUCACAGAGAAGCAAAUCAGUCAUCACACAAAGACAAACAGCACAAGCAUACAACAACAAACAUCUCGUUGCUACACGUUAAUGUUAACUAGAUGGUGGUCUUUCUUGAAAAGGGAAUACCUACUCUCUAAGGCCGUCGAAGGACGAGGAGAGAAACAAGACGUGCAUGAUAGGGGCACGAGCACAACAAAGGAUGGAGUUAAGUGGCCAAGAAAAUGAUACGACCAAGGGCAUAAUGGGUAGAACACCACUCUCGAGUCAAGAUAUAAAAGAGUGGAUUUCAAAAGGCAGACCUAAGAUAAGCAUCAAGGCAAGAUCUAGUGAUUACAAAGGUAAGGGGACUAUCAAACAAAAGCUACGACUGGCAAUGUGGCAGAGGAAAAGGGAACGACCAAGAGUGGGAUGGGUAAGACAACACUCUUGAACUAAAACGAGGGAGGAGGCUUUAAAAUACAGGUACGAGAUAAGCAUCAAGGUAAAGAUCAAGGGAUGACAAGGGUGAGGGUGAUAACGGGCAAAUAAACAAAAAAGGAUGUAUUUUAGACAAAACGUGCAAGGCGUCAAAGGAGGGGAAGCAAUUAAUGGUGAAGUAGAUGAGGCAUUAUCCUUGAGCAGAGAUCGAAAGGAGGAGGUUUUGAAGGGUAGGUUCAAAGUAAGCAUGAAUGUAAGGGUAUAGAUAUUACAAGGGUUAAAGGUGAUAACAGACAAUAAUGUAAGAGAGGAGGUAAAUGGACAUAAGAACAAAAGAUAUAAGUAACAUAAAGGAUGGAGUUAAGACAAUACCUACAAGUGGAAAAGAAGAGGAUACGUCCAAGGGCCAAAUAGGUAAAUUGCCACUCUCAAAUUGAGGUGGAAGAGAGGAGAUUUUUAAUAGUCAGAAUAAAGAUGAGUAUCGACGCAAGAUCGAUGGAUGAAAAGGUGAUGGUGAUAGCAAAUAAAAAACACAGCAAAGGAUGGAAUUAAGACAAAACUUGUAAGGCGACAAGGAGUGAAAAGAAAUCAUGGGAGAGAUAAGUAACUCAUAGCUCUCAAACUAGGUUGAAAGAAAGGGGAGGCUUUUAAAGGAUAAGUUCAAGGUAAGCAUUUAGGUAGAAUACCUCAAUAUCGCAAGGGUCAAAGGCGAUAACAGACAAGGGUAUGAGAGAAAAGAUGAAGGCAUGGGAGAGCCAGUGGUAUGAGUACAACAAAUAAUAGAGUUGCGUCCGAGCUUAUACGCGGUAAAGAAGAGGAUAUAGCCAAGGGUGAGGUAAGGAAAGUACCGCUCUCAAAUUGGGAUAGGAGAUUGGAGAUUUUAGAGAAUGAACAAAGUGUAAUCACCAAGGUAAGAUCUAGAGAUGAGAAAGGUAAAGAUAAUACCCAACCGAAGCACAACAAAGGAUGGAGUUAAAAACCCGCAAGCGACAAGGAAGAGGAUACAACCAAUGGAAAAUGGGUAAAAUACAACUAUAAAAUUGAGAUGGAAGAGAGAACAUUUUAAAGGACAGGUAUAACAUAAGCAUCAAGUAAGAUAUAGAGGUGACAAGGGUAAAGGUGAUAAUGAUGAAAAGCAUAAUCCGUGGACAGAGUUAAGGCAAGAUUCACAAAAUGACUAAGUGGAGAAAACAAUCAAGGAUAAGAUAAGUGAGGUUCCAACAUAAGAGUUGAAGUAAAAAUUCAUUGCCGAAGGAAGUUACAAGGAAACAACGAGAUUAUCACGGUUGUGCAAAAUAAAAUGAUCGCUCAUGGAUCAUUAAGAAAUAGGGGUGGUCAAGGACAUGUUAACUGAAAUGUCUAAGUAGGCAGUAGAAAUUUAGAGGCAAGUAUUUGAAACAAGAGUAUUAAAGGGAUACAAGCAUGUCAAUACCAAAGAACUAGAGUUCGCCAGAUGGUAACAACUUAAUGACGAAAGAGGAAAGAAUCCCAAAAAGACAAGAAGGUUAUGGUCAGGGGGCAUCUACAAAGAUGUUGCAAGCACAAGAGUGAGAUCAGAUCUAAUAGAUUGAGAGAAGUAUAGACCAUACUAGAAUAAAAUACUUUUGGCAAGGGGCAUAUAGGAACACAACAUAGCAUUAGUCGAGGCGACUAAUAUUUUGAAGCGGAAUCAAGGAUGAGGUGAAGUAAUAAUCAAUGAGUCCUUAAAACGGCCAUUGCUACUCUAGGUCAGCGGUCCUACAGUCAGCAAGGCUUUGAUACCACUUAUGUCACACCCGGUUUUGAAGGUAAACCGAAUGCGAACCAUGUACGUGCCAGGAUCAGAAAUUCACGUACAUAGUGAUUACAUAAAUGACUCAUCAUAGCACAAUGCUUCGAAUAACAAUAAAGAGUAAGUAAUAAUAUUACAGACCAGAGCCAUUUACAUAAUAUAAAUCAAAGUACACAUAGUAGAAACGUAGCCAACGUAAACAACCCACCACAGGCAGCUGACUGGGGGAGGUCGCUAGCCUAAUCCUCGAACUCGUCGAAGUCCUGGAACUCCUGGAGAUCUGCCUCGACACCUCCUUCUUUACCUGAGCAUAGAUUGCACCAAAGGCAACCUGGUGUUUUGUGAAAGCAAGGGUGAGUACACAUCAACGUACUCAGCAAAUGUUCCGUUUGGUUGUAGUGGACUAGCUUUAUGUGGGGUUAGGCUCAAGCAGUUGCUUUUAGUUGGUCAGGUAUUUAUUGUUAGUAGAAGCCAGAUUUUAUCAUAAAACCCAAGUUAUAAUCCCAAAAGUACCUCCUGAGAGAGGGAAUACUAGAAUUCAUAAUUAAAGUCACCAUCAUUAACCAUCAUCAUUAAAGUCAUCAUCCAAGGUGUAUCCGGAGUAUCUCUAAUCAAAGAGGAUCCCAAGGCUGCUCUUAACCGUGAGCACGGCUGAUAUAUCAGUUUCACUACCCUCUGCAGAGGUCGCACACUUUACCCAUGAGUCAUGAUUCCCUUUCUGCCCGAGGAGAGCUAAUCCCCGUUGAUCACUCCCUAGGUGGUCUGGCAGGGUAUCACUACGUAGCUGUUACAAAGAUUCCCUAGAGGUCAUAGCCGCCCGUUAGGUUUCUCCAGUUUGAUAAACACAGUACCCCUCCCCGCAGGAGAGUGACUAACCAAAAAGCAAAACAAAAGAACCUCGGCACUCAGCCUCGGCAGAGCAAGCACUGUGCCUGGACCCCAUUGACGGCACGACGGCGAAGCAACUACACCUCUAGUUCCUCUAAUUAAUUAGCUAAGGGCAUCCCAUUUCACCCUCAUGGUUGCACUGUUAUCCCGGGUGGUCUCUCAACGAACAGGUCCUUACGGAGAGGUGCUCGGGAAACGGCCCGAGUCCCCUAAAAUGCCACAAGUAUAUCACCAUCGUAUCCAAAAUAAAAGCAUCGUAUCAUCAAGUAAUUCUCAUCAUGUUCGUUGAUUAGAGUAAAGCGCUAGCAUGUAGUUAACCAUAGUAAUCCGAAAGGUAAAGAAGGAUAAGGUAAAUAGAAAGCUAGUAAAUCCUUAGGUUAUUCAUAGUAUGCGGUACAGUGUAUUAUAAAGUACAUGGGACAUAAUGGGACUGAGGACACUUGCCUUCACCAAACAGAUGCUCAGAAUCUUCAGCCUUGUAGAACUCGAAGAGCUGGGUCAUUUGGUCGCCGAAGCUUGACCGUCGAUUCCUCAAAGCUCAGAAACGAAUCGCGAUCUAAUCGCAACACGAAGCGAAGACGAACAGGCACAAGCAAACAAACAUAUACAUAUGCAUAAGAAUAUUACACCAUACAAGAUAAAAUGUUAUAAAAGCGAGCAAUAUAAAAUAGAGAGCGCUUCUACGGUUACGCGAGAAUAUGAAACACGUCGGUCGGAGCUACGGUCGAUAAGUUAUCGCGUUUAUGCUAAACGAAUAUGAACUAGGACAUUUAAUUCGGCACUAUCAAAUAUAAAUUAUAUCUACUAUUUAGUUUUGACUAACUUACUAUUUUAAUAGUGGAGGAUUAAACGAAUAUUUAAUUAAAUGACAUGAGUGAUUAUAAGCGACCGAUUUAAUAUCGCGCGUGGACAGCACCCGAUAUGCAAAAAAGGCAAUGCGUGCGAAUGACGCGUGAAGACGCGUGACAAUACGCGAAAUAGGGCGCGACCAACACGCGAAACCACGCGUGCGACAACGCGUGCGAACGACGGCGCACGCGGACAGCACGCGAACGGCACGCCAGGAACACUAACCAAUAUCGCCAUUAUAAUAAACAAUUAUUAAUUAAAAAACAUUCGAGUAGACAUAAUCAUAUUAACAUGUAUUUAUAAAGUGCAACUAAAAUUGUAAAUUGGUUCAAGUAGAUUGCUACUUUACUAACUAUCUGAAAAAUAAAUAAUCAAUUAAUUAACUAAAACAUGUAUCACAAUGAAAUAGUGUUACUAAUACGUAAACAACGAGGUUACGAAACAAGUCGAAACAGAUUUGAGACUUAAAAAUAUUUUGAAUAUUUUAUAUCUCACAGAUUUAAUAGAAUGUGGCGUAAUCUAAUUGGUCAAAAUAUGGCCACACGGAGGACCAUAUGAGCAUGGGUGCCGAGGAUCCGUGGGAUUUGGAGCGGACGCUACAACGUGAAACAUCUAUAUUGACCAACCGUAGGGCGCCAUGUGGCCUGGAGACUAGUUUUUUCCACCACCCACGUGAUGCAUGCCGACAUGCAUGGGAGUCAUGCGUGCAUGGGUGGGCGAGCACUCGGCCACCGCUCAAUCGGCCUUUGGCCGCGACCAGCCAUGGCUGGUCGGCCAUGCAUCCAAGGGCUGGGCGUUUCACGGUUCGAUGUCGGCAGCGGAGGUGCGGUUGGCCGGCGAAGGAUAGAAAUGAUAACAGCUAGCGCAGAAACAAAAUAAAGAAAAAUGGCUCACCGGAGAACGGGAAGGGCUCGCCGGAAGAAACAACUUCGUGCGUGGCAGGGACCCCUCGACACAGCGACGAGUGCGGCGAGACCUCCAGCUAGGACAUCGGUCCUUUCUCCACGGUGACAAAUGAUGCGACGACGAGCUCUGCAUGGGACCUCUGCUCGACGGCGGGCGCGGCGCCGGGGCGACUGCGUGAUGCAAGGGGUGGUUGCUGCAAGGUUGAGGGACAGAGAGCAGGUGCCGACUGUUUGAAUGGGACUAUGGGAGCGGCUAUAACGGACCAUUGCUAAAUUCUUGCGUCGUGGCCAUAUAGUGCGGUAGAGGUUGUUCACACACGGAAGAGAUGGUGGUGGGCCUGCGGCGCAGCAGCCGAGUGCGGCGCUGGUGCUUCCCCCACGCGUGCUAGCAGGUAGAUAUGAAUAUACAUAUAUGUUUAUAUGAAUAUAUCUAUUUAUAUUAGAUCAUGUCCCGAUAAUUUAAUUUGAUAGUUUUUCCUUCUUUCGAGUGUGAACACCGCCAAGAUCAUUUUAGCAAACAGAAAGAAAAUGUACCUCGGCUU
rnacentral:lncRNA from 1 species